GGCCUGGAACCAAUAACUGCAUCAUCUGACCUUGCAUCACAGGUAGCGGAAACAACAGAAGCUGCUGAUGAUACUGUGGACAUUGGGGAAGUCCAAAUUAGACCAGAACAGACAGGGUCAACAACAAGUGGUAAAAAAGAUGAUGGUAAAGAAAUAGAUGAUUUGUCUGAUGAUACUGAUACAGUCAAAGGAGCUGAUAGAGAAGAUUUUGCCCUGUUGGUAUGGAAAGUUGUAUAGGCUCCAUAAUAUACAGAAUGUAUGGUGAAACAUGUAUCCAGGAAUAAAUGUAACAACCUUCAUGUAGUUUGAAAUGGUCUUUCACUCAAAAAUUCACCAGUAUUCACCAUCAAACAGAGGAACUAUUUUCCAUGUAACCACUUCCGUACUGUGGUCAACCAAGUGCAGAUAACUGUGGUCUUGUUCCUAUUUCUCAACUAAGAGAAGUGUUGUAUAAAGCCUUGAACAGUAAAACCAGUGUGCUACAGAAGAUUGCUCAUGACUGUAUGA